CACCUCACAACACUACUUCUGAUCAUUCUUGGAGCUCUCAAGCUUCCUUCUAUAUUCCUAAGUCUUGCAUUAAACUUCUACUAGAGCCUUCCGGUAAAUUGUACCUACGCUUACUUAUGUGAAUACGGCUGAGUUAUUAUUCUUGCUAUUUUAAGACAGGAGCUAGCUCAGGUAAAUACUCUUAACUUAUUUCCCUAUACAGGCUUGGGAUACGGUAUAAUAAUACCGCUUGGUCGGGUAUUGAAUAUUUAAUCGGAUUGUGAUUAAGUUAUUGAGGUAACCCGGUUUGAUCUGUAUUGUUUGAAAUAAAAGCCUUUAGGGGUUAAUGACCAUGUCCCGGAUAUCCUUGACAUCAUUGUAUUAUAAAAUGGUCACGUCUUAUGCACGGGGUGUAGGCAUACACCUGACCGCUGCAUAAGGGAAACGGUAUCUCACGCUCAGUGGGCCUAUACUUGUGACGUGUCUGUUAAUCUUGACUCGGUUUCUAUAUCGGGCCCUGAACGUACAACGAACAUGUAAAUCUGUAUACAGGAUCAUAAAUAUGAUUGUCUCAAGUUAUAAAAGAUUAAUUUUGCCUCUGUGCAUUUUAAUCACAGUGUCAAAAUAAUUUGUGCCUGGUGCAUCUAAAUCAAUUUUCUUACACUCUUUUCAAAUGAGUCAGUUGAGUGUACAAGUACGUAAUAGGCUGGAAGCUGCUCAGGACAUUAAUAAGGAAUCUUGCAAGUUCUAGGCGUCUAAAGUCUGUAGAACAAUGUUUAUAGAUCUGCCUGUGGAUCCCUUACUUUCCGUUGUAAUACUUGGAUAUUACUUUUAUUCGGAAUACAAUAUAUUUAUCUU
rnacentral:lncRNA from 1 species